rnacentral:tRNA from 1 species
GUGGGUGGCUCAGUAGUAGAGUGUGUGUUUGGUACACAUGAGGCCCUGGGUUCCAUCCCCAGCACCACA